rnacentral:lncRNA from 1 species
AAGAGCAGUUUAGGGAAGUAAAGUUGGAAGAACGAGCAGCCCGUAGGGAAGCCAGGAGAAAGAUGUAUGGUUGGUCACCCAAAUCCGAGCUAAAAGCAGAUUCUGAAGGAACUGAUGAAGAAGGAAGCCUACAAUCUGACUUCCAAGAAGGGAUGGUUGCCAAUGCUUGAAAGCAUUCGAGCGACAAAAUGUUGUAGGUUUCUGAGCUGCUUCCUGAUAUUGAAGGGCUUCUAUUUUGGUCCUAGAAUGUUUUGUAUUCCUGACUGGCUAGAGUAACAUGAAUUUUGCUUGAACCUAUAAUCCUCUUGGGAUGUGUUCUUGUUUCGGGUGUUUGUAGUAAACAUCAGUAUUAAUGUCAAGGUGCACAUGGCUUCCAUUACGUGUGAAUGUUAAGUUGUCUGAAAAUUCAAUGUUAAGGACAAACAUUCCCCCGCAUUUGAGACAAAUCCCCUGCCCUUUUGAUGAUUGCAUCUUGACAAAACUCCUAUGAAACCAUAAGAAAAGAAUACAGGAAAUCUUUUGCUAUAAUGUGGCACAAUCUCACAAAAAUACUUUUAAAACUCGAAAACAUCUACAUAGUCAGAUUUUUUCGUCUGGUGAAG